rnacentral:lncRNA from 1 species
AUGCAAGAGGCGGGUGGAUGCAGGCCUGGGUGCACGCAGGUGCCUAAAGGUAACCCUUCCUCUCUCUCUCCCUCUCUCUCUCUCUCUUUCUGGUUCCUUGGCUUCUUUUUCAGAGGGCCGCUGUCUGUUUGGAGGAGUUCAAACCCAAGGAUGAGUUGGGGAUUUGUCCGUGCAAACAUGCCUUCCACAGAAAGUGCCUCAUCAAAUGGCUGGAGGUGCGGAAGGUCUGCCCUCUGUGCAACAUGGCCGUUCUCCAGCUGGCCCAGCUCCACAGCAAGCCGGAUCCCCACGGGCCCCCGCAGGAGCCCCUACCCGGGGCGGCCAACAUGGUAUAGCUUCCCGAGACCCGCCCGCUCCUUCUUCUCCGACGCAACCCGGAGCCUGACAGACCCGCGCAGAGACUCUCCCGAGGCUGCUGAGCACUUCCGAGCAUCCUGCAGGAUUCCCUUUGUCUCUUGAAGAGCACACAAGAGUCGCUCGGAAGGAGGAAGGGCGGAAGAGUUCGUGCCAAAAAAACGGAGCCCCAGCGUAGUGCUCAGCAGCGCGACCGGGGAGGAGGCAAACGGGGCCAGCCGUUGGGUUUGGCUUGGCUUCUCUUUCUUCUUUUUUCCGCCCUCCUUUCUUUUUUUUUUCUCCUUUUGUGACAAGCACUUUACGACGGACGUGGGUCAGGUCAGGCGCCUGCUGGAUGAAGGAGGUCCCAGAGCCUGUAAGGGACUUUGAGAGAGAGAGAGAAGGAACACACCAGGUGCCCCCUAUGUGAUUGUGCAUCUUUGCUGCCUCUCAAGAUGGAGUGACUCAGCAGCACGCUCAGCAGGAAGACCCCUCCAACACACUCUGGGGAUAAAUGUGCCCCUCCCCGCCUCGUUUCCACCUAUCGGUGGUGACCUCGUAUCGAGUUUGCCUAUAGCGAACAACAGCAAGGCAAAAUCCUGCCGAGUCUUUGUGUUCCUUUGUGCAAAGGGGCAGGGGGCAACUGGAGAGAGAGCGGCCCCCCACCCCCACAGAUCUACAGCCUGGAGACCCCAAGGGGGUGGUGGAGAUAUGCCCCCAUAAGGAGACUGGCCAAUUUCUCCCAGCGGCCUUGAUGGCUUCUGUUGAGCACUUGAGAUAGAUGUUUUCUCGAUUCCAGCCUCAGAAAACGGCUCCUUUAAGUGCCACAGAAGAAGGGGGUGGGGAGGAAGUGGAAAAGAAUCAGAUCUCACAAAUUCCUGUCACCUUAAUGGAGAACUUCAUCCUACGUGAGGAAUGACAAAACCUUGUCAGUAUCAAUCAAAGCAUUCUCUCUAGAACAUAGCAAAAAAUAUCUCUUUUUAAACCCACAAAUAAAUUCAUUUCAUGCCACCUGCUAACA